GACGAACGCUGGCGGCGUGCUUAACACAUGCAAGUCGAACGGAAAGGCCCUGCUUUUGUGGGGUGCUCGAGUGGCGAACGGGUGAGUAACACGUGAGUAACCUGCCCUUGACUUUGGGAUAACUUCAGGAAACUGGGGCUAAUACCGGAUAGGAGCUCCUGCUGCAUGGUGGGGGUCGGAAAGUUUCGGCGGUUGGGGAUGGACUCGCGGCUUAUCAGCUUGUUGGUGGGGUAGUGGCUUACCAAGGCUUUGACGGGUAGCCGGCCUGAGAGGGUGACCGGCCACAUUGGGACUGAGACACGGCCCAGACUCCUACGGGAGGCAGCAGUGGGGAAUAUUGCACAAUGGGCGGAAGCCUGAUGCAGCAACGCCGCGUGCGGGAUGACGGCCUUCGGGUUGUAAACCGCUUUCGCCUGUGACGAAGCGUGAGUGACGGUAAUGGGUAAAGAAGCACCGGCUAACUACGUGCCAGCAGCCGCGGUGAUACGUAGGGUGCGAGCGUUGUCCGGAUUUAUUGGGCGUAAAGGGCUCGUAGGUGGUUGAUCGCGUCGGAAGUGUAAUCUUGGGGCUUAACCCUGAGCGUGCUUUCGAUACGGGUUGACUUGAGGAAGGUAGGGGAGAAUGGAAUUCCUGGUGGAGCGGUGGAAUGCGCAGAUAUCAGGAGGAACACCAGUGGCGAAGGCGGUUCUCUGGGCCUUUCCUGACGCUGAGGAGCGAAAGCGUGGGGAGCGAACAGGCUUAGAUACCCUGGUAGUCCACGCUGUAAACGGUGGGUACUAGGUGUGGGGUCCAUUCCACGGGUUCCGUGCCGUAGCUAACGCUUUAAGUACCCCGCCUGGGGAGUACGGCCGCAAGGCUAAAACUCAAAGGAAUUGACGGGGCCCCGCACAAGCGGCGGAGCAUGCGGAUUAAUUCGAUGCAACGCGUAGAACCUUACCUGGGUUUGACAUGGAUCGGGAGCGCUCAGAGAUGGGUGUGCCUCUUUUGGGGUCGGUUCACAGGUGGUGCAUGGCUGUCGUCAGCUCGUGUCGUGAGAUGUUGGGUUAAGUCCCGCAACGAGCGCAACCCUUGUUCACUGUUGCCAGCACGUUAUGGUGGGGACUCAGUGGAGACCGCCGGGGUCAACUCGGAGGAAGGUGGGGAUGACGUCAAGUCAUCAUGCCCCUUAUGUCCAGGGCUUCACGCAUGCUACAAUGGCUGGUACAGAGAGUGGCGAGCCUGUGAGGGUGAGCGAAUCUCGGAAAGCCGGUCUCAGUUCGGAUUGGGGUCUGCAACUCGACCUCAUGAAGUCGGAGUCGCUAGUAAUCGCAGAUCAGCAACGCUGCGGUGAAUACGUUCCCGGGGCU
rnacentral:rRNA from 1 species